rnacentral:lncRNA from 1 species
GCAAUACUAUUAUAGAAACAGAAAAUGACCUUAUAUGAAGAAUAAAUAACUUUGGAAUUUCAUUAUGUGUUGAAUCUCUAAAACAAUCUGACUGUAACAAAACGAGCAUAUUGAGCGAACCUCAAACCGGAAACUGAGCCUCGAACGGACGGUGAUGAUCUCGACGACUCAAUAACUGGAAACCUCUCACGUUCUGUCACUGCUUGUGCUGUAUUUCCAGCCGGUCAUGGUAGCAGCAGAUGUGAGAGGGUGGAACUGUAGCUUUGUAUGUGUGCUUGCCGAUUUUAAUGGUGGUCGCUAGUGACAUCGUGCGUCUAGUUUCCGACGAACAGCAGUUCGUUUGAGUUGUUUGGUCGACGGAUUUGUUUAGGAAUUAGGAGGAGAUCUCAAAUUGCAAAAAUGGUGAAGAAGCAGGACAAAACCGAUGGUGAUUGUUUUAACGUGCCACAGCUGAAGGGUUUUGAGGUGGAGGAGCUUCAAUGGAGUCUUCUCCAUGAAGAAGACGAUGGAGAAGUACUCAGAGUGUCUCCUUCUCCUGUCUAGCCUCCUUGGUCGUUUUUGCUUAAGAAGAGGACAUGGAAUUUAGCUUUCUUCUAUGAAGAAAAGAUCAAAACAAUGGCGGUGGGGUUAUUGCCUUUUUGCACUGUUACGACUCCCAUUCAGGCGUCAUUUUUGUUCUCUUUUAUCUAGUGUCUAGGUCUAGAUUUAUAUUUUAUGUAGUUUACGUCCCUAGGUCCUUUUGUGUUAAGUUCUUAGAGCCUUUUUAUUUAUUUUUUGUCCCAAAGAAGAGUUUAGAAAGGUCCCUAAGCUUAAUGGACUAAUCUGAAUUGGGCUCUAGAGCUUUUGAAAUUGUGAUCGAACAUCUUAAU